AUUGAACGCUGGCGGCAUGCCUUACACAUGCAAGUCGAACGGCAGCACGGGUGCUUGCCCCUGGUGGCGAGUGGCGAACGGGUGAGUAAUACAUCGGAACAUGUCCUGUAGUGGGGGAUAGCCCGGCGAAAGCCGGAUUAAUACCGCAUACGAUCUACGGAUGAAAGCGGGGGACCUUCGGGCCUCGCGCUAUAGGGUUGGCCGAUGGCUGAUUAGCUAGUUGGUGGGGUAAAGGCCUACCAAGGCGACGAUCAGUAGCUGGUCUGAGAGGACGACCAGCCAAACGGGGACUGGGACCCGGCCCAGCCCCCUCCGGGAGGAGCGAGGGGGGAUUUUGGGAAAAGGGGCGAAGGCCUGACCAAGAAAGGCCGGGUGGGUGAAAAAGGCCUUGGGGUUGUAAAGCAUUUUUGCCGGGAAAAAAAUCCUUGGCCCUAAUAGGGUGGGGGGAUGACGGACCGGAAAAAAAAAGCCCCGGCUAACUACGUG
rnacentral:rRNA from 1 species